rnacentral:tRNA from 1 species
GCAGUGGUGGCUCAGUGGCAGCAUUCUUGCCUUUCAUACAGGAGACCCCACAUGGUUUUUUUAUGUGGGAGACCUGGGUUCAAUUCCCAGCCAAUGCA